CACUUUGGGUUCAUGUCUGGGAGGGGGCGGGGGCGGGGGGCCUGCAGGGUGUGUUGGGUGGUUUUUUGAUAUGUAUGAAACUGACAUCUUGGCAAACCCCAUCCCCUCCCAAGCCCACUGUCACCCACUCACCCACUGUCUAUCCCAUGGAGAGUCCCCUAGCCUGACCUUGGGAUCCAGCCCUUGCUGUGGACUAGGGAGACCUCCCCAGUAGAUGCAAGUUGCCCCAUUUCUCCCUUUGGAUGAGGGCACCAGACCCCAGGCGGGGUGGAGAGGGAGGUAUGGAGAGGGAGCACCCGUCCAGCCCCUGGAAGAGACCACACACAGGGUCCCCAACCCCCACUCUGGCUUCUCCAACGGUACUUUGACUCCAGUGUAGGGCUAGAGUAUACAUAUACAUAUAUAUAUAUAAUUUUGGACUUUCUUUUCUCGUACUACAGAUUAUACAGUGGCUACUUUUUAUUUUGGCCUGGAUUCUCUCUGAGGCCGACUUUUCCCCUGCAUCCUCCUGUCUUUCCGUUUCUGCCCCUUUGGACACUUCCUGAGAGUCUCAACUCCAAACUGACACCUCCUCCCCACCCCCACCCCCUCCCCCGCGUCCAUCCAUCCCUAAGCAUUUCAGAGCGUGUGGGGUCCGAGCUGGCCCGGAGGCCCACCCCCCACCCACCCUCUCCCCCCAAGCGAGACGGGGGAGACAGACCCAAAGCAAUCCCAGCAGGACUUGUUGCCAGCGAUACCAAAACAGUCUUUUCCCAAGCAGUGCCUCACAUGUCUGCUGGUGUGGCUUUGGGGUUCUCCUCCCCCACUCCCUGGGGGUCCCCCAGGCCUCAGGAAAGAGGAGGCGGGAUCCAGCAGGACUAAGGGCUCCAGGAGAGGAAGAAAGUCACACACGCCCAAGCCACCACUCUCCCUGCAGCCCUUGCUUCACACCACCUGGCUAGAAGGGGACCCACUGGAAAGGGGUCGGGGCCACCUCAGCCCCCCUCCAGUUGUGAACCCCCAAAGCCCAUUCCCCAAAUGCAUCAACACCCCAUCCUCCCACCUCAGGUCCCAGCCAGGCCCCCCUGAAACCAAAGCCCCUUCAAAUCCAGGGGUCCUGGCCUCUUCCCCCUCCCAGAACCGCACGUGGGGACAGAAAGGCAGAGUGCCUGAGGAUAGAACGCAGGUCGUGGGGGGCAGUGGUGGGUUGGUGGGGAGAGAGGGAGAGACCCAUUUUCCUCUCUGAACUUUCUUUCCUCUUUUUUCUUCAUCUCUUUUCUUUCUAAGAUUUUUUAGUGGUGUUGCUGUUCAUUCUUUUCCCUCAGAUAUUUUUUGAGUUUUUUUUCCCCAUUUUGUAUUUUACCAAUAUUACCAGGAUAGUUUACUCUCUGUUUCUCGCUUUCUGCUUGCUGCACACAAUGGAUAAACACACACACACACACAGACACACACACACACACACACACCCAUGCUCAUGAACCCAUGUCAUGAGAAGGUUCGGGCCAGGCCCACUACCCACCUUGUGCCCCUCCUCCUCCCUAAGGUGGGGACAGGAUGGGGGACCAGGGGACGUGGGGCAGAGCCAGGCCCAGCCUUCUCCUGGCCCGGCUCCCCCGCCCUGCUCCUUCACAUCAUACUCCGAUCAUAACCUUGUAUAUUAAGCAGUCAUUUCGGUUUUCCGCGGACGCGCCUACCUAAGUACCAUUUACAGAAAGUGACUCUGGCUGUUAUUAUUUUGUUUGUUUGUUUCCCUAUGCAAAAAAAAAAAAAUGAAAAAAAGAAAAAAAAUGAAAGGGGGGUUCCAUAAAAGAUUCAAUAAAAGGCAAAAAAAAAGAAAAAAGAAAAAAUGU
rnacentral:lncRNA from 1 species